GACAGCUCCCUUGUAGUUAAGGCAAUUAAGGGUAUGAAACCAGGUAAAGCCCCCGGCCCAUCAGGUAUCGCUGCUGAGAUGCUUAAAACAGCUAGUUAUGUGGGCUAUUUAAGCAGAGGGGGGAGAAGCGAGUAAUUUACUUAACGAAAUUCUAAGAGAUGGAGCGAACAAGGGUCAGUCGGAAUUUAGGGACGGUCAGAAUUUAAGCAGAGGGGGGAGAAGCGAGUAAUUUACUUAACGAAAUUCUAAGAGAUUGAGCGAACAAGGGUGAGUCGGAAUUUAGGGACGGUCAGAAUUUAAGCAGAGGGGGGAGAAGCGAGUAAUUUACUUAACGAAAUUCUAAUAGAUGGAGCUAAAAACUAACAGAAAGAGGGAAGAGAAAAAUGUUCUUAGCUUGACGUCACGAUCAUCGUAUGGU